UACGGAGGGUGCUAGCGUUGUUCGGAAUCACUGGGCGUAAAGCGCGUGUAGGCGGCCCAUCAAGUCUGAUGUGAAAGCCCGGGGCUCACCCCCGGAAGUGCAUUGGAGACUGUUGGGCUGGAGUCCCGGAGAGGAGGGUGGAAUUCCUGGUGUAGCGGUGAAAUGCGUAGAUAUCAGGAGGAACACCGGUGGCGAAGGCGGCCCUCUGGACGGUGACUGACGCUGAGACGCGAAAGCGUGGGGAGCAAACAGG
rnacentral:rRNA from 1 species